UGAAGGCUUCUCAGCAUCUGACUCUAGUUUCACUGUUUCCUUAGCUGGUUCAUUGACAAGAGUUUCCUUUGAAGGGUUCUCAGCUUCUGACUCUACUAUCAUUAUUUCCUUAGCUGGUUCAUUGAUAUGAGUUUCCUCAGAAGGUUUCUCAGCUUCUACUAUCACUGUUUCCUUAACUGGUUCAUUGAUAUGAGUUUCCUCAGAAGGUUUCUUAGCUUCUGACUCAACUAUCACUGUUUUCUUGUCUGGUUCAUUGAUAUGAGUUUCCUCUGAAGGUUUCUCAGCUUUUGAUUCUAGUUUCACAGUUUCCUUAGCUGCUUCACUGAUAUGAGUUUCCACUGAAGGUUUCUCAGUCUCUGACUCUAGUUUCUCUGUUUCCUUAACUGGUUCACUGAUAUGAGUUUCCUCUGAAGGUUUCUCAGCUUCUGACUCUCGUUUCACUGUUUCCUUAGAUGGUUCAUUGACAUGAGUUUCUGCCUUCAAAGUCUC
rnacentral:lncRNA from 1 species